AUACAUGCAAGUCGAACGCGUCUCCGUUAAUGAUUUUAGGUGCUUGCACUUGAAAGAUUUAACAUUGAGACGAGUGGCGAACUGGUGAGUAACACGUGGGUAACCUGCCCUUGAAGUAGGGGAUAACACUUGGAAACAGGUGCUAAUACCGUAUAACAACCAAAACCACCUGGUUUUGGUUUAAAAGACGGCUUCGGCUGUCACUUUAGGAUGGACCCGCGGCGUAUUAGCUUGUUGGUAAGGUAACGGCUUACCAAGGCGAUGAUACGUAGCCGACCUGAGAGGGUAAUCGGCCACAUUGGGACUGAGACACGGCCCAAACUCCUACGGGAGGCAGCAGUAGGGAAUCUUCCACAAUGGACGAAAGUCUGAUGGAGCAACGCCGCGUGAGUGAUGAAGGGUUUCGGCUCGUAAAACUCUGUUGUUGGAGAAGAACAGGUGUCAGAGUAACUGUUGACAUCUUGACGGUAUCCAACCAGAAAGCCACGGCUAACUACGUGCCAGCAGCCGCGGUAAUACGUAGGUGGCAAGCGUUGUCCGGAUUUAUUGGGCGUAAAGCGAGCGCAGGCGGUUUUUUAGGUCUGAUGUGAAAGCCUUCGGCUUAACCGGAGAAGUGCAUCGGAAACCGGGAGACUUGAGUGCAGAAGAGGACAGUGGAACUCCAUGUGUAGCGGUGAAAUGCGUAGAUAUAUGGAAGAACACCAGUGGCGAAGGCGGCUGUCUGGUCUGUAACUGACGCUGAGGCUCGAAAGCAUGGGUAGCGAACAGGAUUAGAUAC
rnacentral:rRNA from 1 species